AGUCAACAUGCCCAGAGGACGUGGAUAACCUCGGGAAACUGAGGAUAAACCGCGAUAGGCCAUAAUUACUGGAAUGGGUUAUGGCUUAAACCUAUAUGGCCUCUGGAUUGGACUGCGGCCGAUCAGGCUGUUGGUGAGGUAAUGGCCCACCAAACCUGUUACCGGUACGGGCUCUGAGAGGAGGAGCCCGGAGAUGGGCACUGAGACAAGGGCCCAGGCCCUAUGGGGCGCAGCAGGCGCGAAACCUCUGCAAUAGGCGAAAGCCUGACAGGGUUACUCUGAGUGAUUCCCGCUAAGGGGAUCUUUUGGCACCUCUAAAAAUGGUGCAGAAUAAGGGGUGGGCAAGUCUGGUGUCAGCCGCCGCGGUAAUACCAGCACCCCGAGUGGUCGGGACGAUUAUUGGGCCUAAAGCAUCCGUAGCCGGUCAUGCAAGUCCUCCGUUAAAUCCACCUGCUUAACAGAUGGGCUGCGGAGGAUACUACAAGGCUAGGAGGCGGAAGAGGCAAGCGGUACUC
rnacentral:rRNA from 1 species